rnacentral:rRNA from 1 species
UUGUGAGGUUAAGCGACUAAGCGUACACGGUGGAUGCCCUGGCAGUCAGAGGCGAUGAAGGACGUGCUAAUCUGCGAUAAGCGUCGGUGAGGUGAUAUGAACCGUUAUAACCGGCGAUUUCCGAAUGGGGAAACCCAGUGUGUUUCGACACACUAUCAUUAACUGAAUCCAUAGGUUAAUGAGGCGAACCGGGGGAACUGAAACAUCUAAGUACCCCGAGGAAAAGAAAUCAACCGAGAUUCCCCCAGUAGCGGCGAGCGAACGGGGAGGAGCCCAGAGCCUGAAUCAGUGUGUGUGUUAGUGGAAGCGUCUGGAAAGGCGCGCGAUACAGGGUGACAGCCCCGUACACAAAAAUGCACAUAUUGUGAGCUCGAUGAGUAGGGCGGGACACGUGGUAUCCUGUCUGAAUAUGGGGGGACCAUCCUCCAAGGCUAAAUACUCCUGACUGACCGAUAGUGAACCAGUACCGUGAGGGAAAGGCGAAAAGAACCCCGGCGAGGGGAGUGAAAAAGAACCUGAAACCGUGUACGUACAAGCAGUGGGAGCCUCUUAAUGGGGUGACUGCGUACCUUUUGUAUAAUGGGUCAGCGACUUAUAUUCUGUAGCAAGGUUAACCGAAUAGGGGAGCCGAAGGGAAACCGAGUCUUAACUGGGCGUUAAGUUGCAGGGUAUAGACCCGAAACCCGGUGAUCUAGCCAUGGGCAGGUUGAAGGUUGGGUAACACUAACUGGAGGACCGAACCGACUAAUGUUGAAAAAUUAGCGGAUGACUUGUGGCUGGGGGUGAAAGGCCAAUCAAACCGGGAGAUAGCUGGUUCUCCCCGAAAGCUAUUUAGGUAGCGCCUCGUGAAUUCAUCUCCGGGGGUAGAGCACUGUUUCGGCAAGGGGGUCAUCCCGACUUACCAACCCGAUGCAAACUGCGAAUACCGGAGAAUGUUAUCACGGGAGACACACGGCGGGUGCUAACGUCCGUCGUGAAGAGGGAAACAACCCAGACCGCCAGCUAAGGUCCCAAAGUCAUGGUUAAGUGGGAAACGAUGUGGGAAGGCCCAGACAGCCAGGAUGUUGGCUUAGAAGCAGCCAUCAUUUAAAGAAAGCGUAAUAGCUCACUGGUCGAGUCGGCCUGCGCGGAAGAUGUAACGGGGCUAAACCAUGCACCGAAGCUGCGGCAGCGACGCUUAUGCGUUGUUGGGUAGGGGAGCGUUCUGUAAGCCUGUGAAGGUGUGCUGUGAGGCAUGCUGGAGGUAUCAGAAGUG